ensembl:lncRNA
CUCUCUCUCUCUCUCUCUCUCUCUCUCUCUCUCUCUCUCUCUAAGCUGUGCUUCGCUCCUACUGUUAUCAUCCCACUCUCUCUCUCUCUCUCUCUCUCUCUCUCUCUCUCUCUCUCUCUAAGCUGUGCUUCGCUCCUACUCGUCAGUUAGCAGAGCCUUUAACUGCUCCAGCACCUUUGCCAAAGUCGAUGGGAAAGUUACGCUACAAUUUCUCUAUUGGUUCUAUACCUUUAUUUAUAUACAAUAGAAUAUUUGCAUACAGUACUUUACAAGCCAAUUACAGUGCAAUCUUUUCAGUUAUUUAUUGUUUAAAAAAUAAAAAAUUAAGUGUAGUUAUAAAUGUACUAAUUUGUUUUUUCUCUCAUAGCAUGUUAUAUUGUUAUUAUGAUCAUGUUUCAGUUUUAUUGGAUGUUAUUUUAGAUGUUUGAUUAAAGGCCAGCAUUUCGUACUCUCAGUAGCCAAUUACAUAUCUCAUUUAUUCUCUUACAGUUCUGGAGCGAACACACAGAGUGUCUUCAGAAACGUUACCUUUUCUGUUUUUAAGGUUAUGUUGGUGUCUGUAUUGGGAUUUAAGCACAGGCAUGACGUACCGUACAACUCUGAGGGGGCACUGGUGGUUAAAUAAUGUACACUCUUAGAAAAAAAGGGUUCCAAAAGGGUUCUUCGGCUGUCCCCAUAGGAGAACUCUUUUGGGUUCCAACCCUCCAAUGGGGACAGUCGAAGAACCCUUAUAUGCUCUAGGUAGCAGCUUUUUUCCCGGAGAGUUUCUGAAGGUACUCUGAAGGUGAAAUAAGGUAUGAAGGUACUCUUUACAGUUACUGUAACCAGUGCUUGAAGAGGACGGCAGAAGGUGGCGGUACUGACUUUAAUUCUACCGUUUGAGCCGGGAUUCUGUUAGAGUUUCCAUUAUUCAGACAGUAUGACGCGACUUGAAGACUCAGGUUAGCUCCGCAUGGCUAAUGCCCUAGGCUUCAGUUCCAGGGGCUAACACAGUCUUGGGACGAUGUACAGUGCCCCCUCAGUGGGAAGGUGUGUGGUGUCUCGGGGAGUCAGAACAAUAGUUGCCUUAAUUUGUCGUUUAUACUGCCUAAUGUUAUAGAUUAAGAUGUGUUUGAUAUCAUAUCUGUUUGGUUUAUUUCUGCCAAAGUCGAGGCUUGUGUCAUACCAUUUUACUUUGUGUGUGUGACACACACACACGUUCCUUUCAAUGUCAUCUACGUUCUCAAGGGUUCCUUGAUGUUCCCUCUGUGACCACACAGCAUUAUUAUUCCUGUCACAUUAUUAUCCUCUCAAAAAGGAAAGACAUAACUUGAUCUGUGAUUUACGCUUCUUUCAUAUUUUUGUUUUUAUGUAGAUUUUUUUUGUGAAGCUAAAUGUAUUAAAUGUUCUAUUGUUAAAUAUACUACCCCUUUAUUGAGUCUUAACACGCUGAUUUCACACUGAAAAAAGGUCAAAAAGACUACAACAAUCAAAUCAGGAUGUCAGUCAGACCGAUGAGGAUGAGGAUGAUGAGGAAUACUUUUCCCAGCUUGUCGUCGUAUAAAGAGCCUUAGUGAUUAUUUUGUGUCCAGUGUUUUUGCUUAGAAUUGAUAGUCAGUGCAGAGUUAUUAUACGUAUAAGAGAUGUAGUAUUGACGCUAAAAUGAGGCAAGUACAACUAACAGAUUAUAUGGAGCACUUUUAAAGCGGUAGACCCUUAGCCCACAGGGUAAGUGUCUGUCCUGCGAGAACCGUGAUGCUUUUCAUCAGACAUCUUCUUGUUUUGAUACCAGACACCCACAGCUGCCCGCCGGGCACUCUGUUACAUUGGCAUUACUAUGUCGUCUGGAGUUUUGACUACGUCAUUGUUGUGACUGAGUCGUCUGGCACUGUUGGGUCAUUUGGUGUUGCUGUGUCAUACAGCGUUACUCUGUCAUCUGACGUGACUUUGUCAUGUUGUGUCCAUCUUUCCUGUCCACCUGUCUUAGUUAGAAAAAAGACUGUUGAUAUGUCCUGUUGUGUUAACUCUCCCCCAAGCCUUUUACAGCCAAAUCGUUCCUGAUGUGUUAAAUCUCCCCCAAGCCUUUUACAGCCAAAUCGUUCCUGAUGUGUUAAAUCUCCCCCAAGCCUUUUACAGCCAAAUCGUUCCUGAUGUGUUAAAUCUCCCCCAAGCCUUUUACAGCCAAAUUGUUCCUGAUGUGUUAAAUCUCCCCCAAGCCUUUUACAGCCAAAUUGUUCCUGAUGUGUUAAAUCUCCCCCAAGCCUUUUACAGCCAAAUCGUUCCUGAUGUGUUAAAUCUCCCCCAAGCCUUUUACAGCCAAAUUGUUCCUGAUGUGUUAAAUCUCCCCCAAGCCUUUUACAGCCAAGUAAUUCCUCAUGUCUAGGGACAGGAGUUUUCCCUGACCAUGUGAAUUGACCAGGAUGGUUAGGACAUAUGGUCACGAAAUACUCCUGUCCAUACUCCCUAAUAAUGCCUAAUGUUAUAGGCUAAGGUUAGGAUAAUGGUAGGCCAAUGUUAGGCCUGUGAUAUCACCAAUAAUAUGUUUCCUAAAGGCUUUUGGCUAGUGUUUCCAGGGCUUGGCCCAGUGGCUACUUGUCAGUGUGAGCAGGGUACACCCUGUAAGAUUUGUAUUUAGGAAAAUCUUUAGACCCUUCUGGUCCUGCUCACCUAGUGGGUCCUGAACAAAACAGAUACUUCUGCCCAGUAACCCAGCAACUGUGCCUUCUGAUUGGUUACUUUUUUUAGUCUGAUUAAUAGUAAAACAAAUUGAAACUGAAAAUAUGGAAUUUGAAUAUGAGAGUUUAGAGAUUGAAUGGGUAACUGUCCCAGAUUAAUGUAUGAAGACUUGUAUGUAUUAAAAAAAAUAUUAGUCUGAAACCAAAACAACAUAUUUGUACCUCACACUUACCAAAACAAACAUUCCAAUGUUGUCAUGGGCUACGAUUUGAAAGGAAAAAAAUUUGCAUACAUUUCUACUACUUUGUAUUGUUAAUGUUAGACUAUUUCAUAUGCAUUAUAUAAAAUAAACCGCCAUAUCAAUUUUAAUGUAUAGAUUUUGCAAAUACUACCCCUCUGUAUGUAAGACCUAACUGUAUCGGUAGCCUGUGUUAUAUAAUAUAUUUAUGCCCAAUAAAUGUUUAAUUUUUUCUGACCUUGACUGAAACCUCUUGUUUUGUGUGUCAUAGUUUAUUGUUUGAUUUCCUGUUCAUACAGUGG